GGGCGUGUGGUCUAGUGGUAUGAUUCUCGCUUUGGGCGAAGCCUAGCCAAAACUGGGUUAAACUACUAAGCAUGCGAGAGGCCCUGGGUUCAAUUCCCAGCUCGCCCC
rnacentral:tRNA from 1 species